UACAGAGGGGGCAAGCGUUGUUCGGAAUUACUGGGCGUAAAGGGCGCGUAGGCGGCCUUCUAAGUCGAACGUGAAAUCCCCGGGCUCAACCCGGGAACUGCGUCCGAUACUGGCAGGCUUGAAUCCGGGAGAGGGAUGUGGAAUUCCAGGUGUAGCGGUGAAAUGCGUAGAUAUCUGGAGGAACACCGGUGGCGGAAGGCGGCGAUCC
rnacentral:rRNA from 1 species